rnacentral:rRNA from 1 species
UACGUAGGUGGCAAGCGUUGUCCGGAUUUAUUGGGUUUAAAGGGUGCGUAGGCGGCUUUGUAAGUCAGUGGUGAAAUAUGGCAGCUUAACUGUCAAGGUGCCAUUGAUACUGCGGAGCUUGAGUACAGAUGAGGUAGGCGGAAUUGACGGUGUAGCGGUGAAAUGCUUAGAUAUCGUCAAGAACACCUAUAGCGAAGGCAGCUUACUAGGCUGUAACUGACGCUGAGACACGAAAGUGUGGGGAUCAAACAGG